rnacentral:sRNA from 2 species
AGCGCGACCGGAUCCACACCGCGGGUGACCACCAGGUAGUCGCGCAUCACGAUGCCGUGCCGGUUCUC